CACCAGCGCCACGAGUGGUGACCAUUUUUAUUGGGCCUAAAGCGUUCGUAGCUGGUUUAGUAAAUCCUUUGUGAAAUCGUUAAGCUUAACUUAACGGCGUGCAGAGGAGACUGCUGAACUUGGGACUGGGAGGAGUCAGAAGUAUUCUUGGGGGAGCGGUAAAAUGCUAUAAUCCCAAGAGGACUACCUGUGGCGAAGGCGUCUGACUAGAACAGAUCCGACAGUGAGGGACGAAAGCUAGGGGAGCGAUCCGGAUUAGAUACCCCAGUA
rnacentral:rRNA from 1 species